rnacentral:rRNA from 1 species
UCCAGGCCCUACGGGGCGCAGCAGGCGCGAAACCUCCGCAAUGCGCUAACGCGCGACGGGGUCACCCCGAGUGCCAGUCGCUGAGACUGGCUUUUCCCCAGUGUAAAAAGCUGGGGGAAUAAGCGGGGGGCAAGUUCUGGUGUCAGCCGCCGCGGUAA